rnacentral:misc_RNA from 1 species
CAACCCUCAAGCUUCGCUUGGUGAUGGGGACCGCCCGAGGGCGGCCCCGAAACACGUGGGCGCCAACGGCCGGCCCUGAGCGUAGCAAAACCCUCGCUCGGGACCCCGGUCGACGGCCGCCCUGACCCAAACUCAUACAA